GACGAACGCUGGCGGCGUGCUUAACACAUGCAAGUCGAACGAUGAAGCCUAGCUUGCUAGGUGGAUUAGUGGCGAACGGGUGAGUAAUACGUGAGUAACCUACCUUUAACUCUGGGAUAAGCCCGGGAAACUGGGUCUAAUACCGGAUACGACCAAUCUCCGCAUGGGGUGUUGGUGGAAAGCGUUAUGUAGUGGUUAUAGAUGGGCUCACGGCCUAUCAGCUUGUUGGUGAGGUAACGGCUCACCAAGGCGACGACGGGUAGCCGGCCUGAGAGGGUGACCGGCCACACUGGGACUGAGACACGGCCCAGACUCCUACGGGAGGCAGCAGUGGGGAAUAUUGCACAAUGGGCGCAAGCCUGAUGCAGCGACGCCGCGUGAGGGAUGACGGCCUUCGGGUUGUAAACCUCUGUUAGCAGGGAAGAAGAGAGAUUGACGGUACCUGCAGAGAAAGCGCCGGCUAACUACGUGCCAGCAGCCGCGGUAAUACGUAGGGCGCGAGCGUUGUCCGGAAUUAUUGGGCGUAAAGAGCUUGUAGGCGGUUUGUCGCGUCUGCUGUGAAAGGCCGGGGCGUUAACCCCGUGUAUUGCAGUGGGUACGGGCAGACUAGAGUGCAGUAGGGGAGACUGGAAUUCCUGGUGUAGCGGUGGAAUGCGCAGAUAUCAGGAGGAACACCGAUGGCGAAGGCAGGUCUCUGGGCUGUAACUGACGCUGAGAAGCGAAAGCAUGGGGAGCGUACAGGAUUAGAUACCCUGGUAGUCCACGCCGUAAACGUUGGGCACUAGGUGUGGGGGACAUUCCACGUUUUCCGCGCCGUAGCUAACGCAUUAAGUGCCCCGCCUGGGGAGUACGGCCGCAAGGCUAAAACUCAAAGAAAUUGACGGGGGCCCGCACAAGCGGCGGAGCAUGCGGAUUAAUUCGAUGCAACGCGAAGAACCUUACCAAGGCUUGACAUAUACUGGACCGCAUCAGAGAUGGUGUUUCCCUCCGGGGCUGGUAUACAGGUGGUGCAUGGUUGUCGUCAGCUCGUGUCGUGAGAUGUUGGGUUAAGUCCCGCAACGAGCGCAACCCUCGUUCUAUGUUGCCAGCACGUUAUGGUGGGGACUCAUAGGAGACUGCCGGGGUCAACUCGGAGGAAGGUGGGGAUGACGUCAAAUCAUCAUGCCCCUUAUGUCUUGGGCUUCACGCAUGCUACAAUGGCCGGUACAGAGGGUUGCGAUACUGUGAGGUGGAGCUAAUCCCUAAAAGCCGGUCUCAGUUCGGAUUGGGGUCUGCAACUCGACCCCAUGAAGUCGGAGUCGCUAGUAAUCGCAGAUCAGCAACGCUGCGGUGAAUACGUUCCCGGGCCU
rnacentral:rRNA from 1 species